CCUACGGGAGGCAGCAGUAAGGAAUAUUGGUCAAUGGAGGCAACUCUGAACCAGCCAUGCCGCGUGCAGGAUGAAGGCCCUAUGGAUCGUAAACUGCUUUUACACAAGAGAAAACCCCGGUACGUGUACCGGGUUGAUAGUAUUGUGAGAAUAAGCAUCGGCUAACUUCGUGCCAGCAGCCGCGGUAAGACGAAGGAUGCAAGCGUUAUCCGGAUUCAUUGGGUUUAAAGGGUGCGUAGGCGGACUUGUAAGUCAGUGGUGAAAUCUCUUUGCUUAACAAAGAAACUGCCAUUGAUACUGCAGGUCUAGAGUAUAGAUGACGUUGGCGGAAUAUGACAUGUAGUGGUGAAAUACUUAGAUAUGUCAUAGAACACCGAUUGCGAAGGCAGCUAACGAAACUAUAACUGACGCUGGGGCACGAAAGUGGNGGGAGUACAACAGAGUAGUAUACCUACGUAGUCGCGACCGUAACCGAACUAGAUACUCGUUGUUGGUCGUAUAUGUACGUCGAGCGACCGACGACGAAGACGAGUAAGUAAGUACCGUAACCGUCGGGGUAGGGUUACGGCCGGGUCCGACCGGGUUACGGUAACGUUACGAAGAGUAGUUAGGUUACGGCGAGGAGACGACGACCGGACGGACGACCGACGGACGGGAGGGAGGAG
rnacentral:rRNA from 1 species